rnacentral:rRNA from 1 species
GAUGAACGCUAGCGGGAGGCUUAACACAUGCAAGUCGAGGGGCAGCACGAGAUAGCAAUAUUUUGGUGGCGACCGGCGCACGGGUGAGUAACACGUAUGCAACCUACCUCGUACAGGGGGAUAACCCGGAGAAAUUCGGACUAAUAUCCCAUAAUAAUAUUGAAAGGCAUCUUUUAAUAUUUAAAGCUCAGGCGGUACGGGAUGGGCAUGCGGAACAUUAGCUAGUUGGUAGGGUAACGGCCUACCAAGGCUGCGAUGUUUAGGGGACCUGAGAGGGUUAUCCCCCACACUGGUACUGAGACACGGACCAGACUCCUACGGGAGGCAGCAGUGAGGAAUAUUGGUCAAUGGGCGCAAGCCUGAACCAGCCCAUCCCCGCGUGAAGGAAGAAGGCGCUAUGCGUCGUAAACUUCUUUUCCAGGGGGAGAAUUUUCCGGUCGUGACCGGAAUUGACGGUACUCUGGGAAUAAGCAUCGGCUAACUCCGUGCCAGCAGCCGCGGUAAGCAUACUCGUA